ACACCUGUAAAAUGAACAUAAUGUCCUUGAACUACAUUUUCCCCAGGUUAUGAAGAUGAAAAUGACACAUGGGACAACAUGGUACGGGAGCCAGAGACCAGUUUAGGAGCCAAGAAUAAGAAAUGGACAGAACACUGCCCUCUUGGAUUCAGGGGCUUUUGUCUAACUACAAAUCUGUAAUCUCUACUCUCUUAAAAGGUAGGAUUCAAGUUGGAAAUUCCUGAAAUUUGAUUCCAGUUCUACUGAUCACAUUUGUAUGACAAUUGAAAAGUAAUAUUCCA
rnacentral:lncRNA from 1 species